CGAUACGUCUCAGAAAUUCAAACAAAACUUCCUCCAUGAUCAAACUGUUUUCAAUAAUGUUCAUGAGGACUCUCUAUCAACACUGGGGCGAGUUGUGAUUUCGGAAAGAAAUUCUGAGAGAGUAAAAGACCUGCGGCAUGAAUAUGUGGAGAGUUUUGGUAAUGGAUGCUGAUGCAAUCCCACAUUCAUUUAUCUUCAUAGAUGAGGCUGGGUUUAACCUAACAAAAAUUGGGGUCCUCCACCACAACGCCAACUUGGGUCCUUACAACACGGACUACAUGCAUUUUU